rnacentral:misc_RNA from 1 species
UUGAUUCAUUGUGUAUGAUUCCACUCAGACAUGCCAAAAGGUAAGAUACAAGAGUUUGGGUCCCCCGGCGGGCGCGCCCUGGGUUCCAGGGCGAAGGUACCCGCCGAAGCAACGGUGUAAGGUAUAGGUUCACAGGGGGUUUGGGAGUUGUAAACUCGGUAAUGAUCCCUCCGCUGGUUCACCAACGGAGA